rnacentral:tRNA from 1 species
GCUGUUAAUUAAAAUUUUACGGGAUCGAGGCCCGUCUAUUCAG